GACGAACGCUGGCGGCGUGCUUAAUACAUGCAAGUCGAACGGAGCCUAGCCGAUAGGUUUCACUUAUUGGCGAAAGCUUAGUGGCGGACGGGUGAGUAACGCGUGGGCAAUCUGCCCCUAAGUCCGGGAUAACAGAGCGAAAGUUCUGCUAAGACCGGAUAUUCUUCCCUGGUCGCAUGGCCUAGGAAGGAAAGGUUAACGCUUAGGGAUGAGCCCGCGUCCCAUUAGCUAGUUGGUGAGGUAACGGCCCACCAAGGCGACGAUGGGUAGCCGGCCUGAGAGGGCGACCGGCCACACUGGGACUGAGACACGGCCCAGACUCCUACGGGAGGCAGCAGUGGGGAAUUUUGGACAAUGGGGGCAACCCUGAUCCAGCCAUGCCGCGUGAGUGAAGAAGGCCUCGGUUGUAAGCUCUUCUAGCCGGAGAAAGCGCACUCUCUAACAUAGGUGUGGAUGACGGUACCGGAAGAAGAAGCACCGGCUAACUACGUGCCAGCAGCCGCGGUAAACAUACUCG
rnacentral:rRNA from 1 species